AAGACCUUGCACUUUUGGAGCGGCCGAKGUCUGAUUAGCUAGUUGGUGGGGUAAUGGCCUACCAAAGCUUCGAUCAGUAGCUGGUCUGAGAGGACGGCCAGCCACACUGGGACUGAGACACGGCCCAGACUCCUACGGGAGGCAGCAGUGGGGAAUUUUGGACAAUGGGCGCAAGCCUGAUCCAGCCAUGCCGCGUGAGUGAAGAAGGCCUUCGGGUUGUAAAGCUCUUUCAGCCGGGAAGAAAAGGUUGCGACUAAUAAUCGCAAUUCAUGACGGUACCGAAAGAAGAAGCACCGGCUAACUACGUGCCAGCAGCCGCGGUAAUACGUAGGGUGCGAGCGUUAAUCGGAAUUACUGGGCGUAAAGGGUGCGCAGGCGGUUUUGUAAGUCAGAUGUGAAAUCCCCGGGCUUAACCUGGGAACU
rnacentral:rRNA from 1 species